AGUGCAGUUGAUAAUGGUAUAUAUCAUGAAAGGAUGACACAUGGAUCCAGAAGGCAAGAAGUUUGGAGGAGGACCGAGGGAAUUGACAGGGGCUGCGGAUCUUGUAAAUCAUUUCAAAUUACUACCCCACUAUGACUUUUUCUGCAAAAGGUCACUUCCUGAGUCAAUUUUGGACUCACAUUAUCUUUACAAUGUCGUGGGAGACACAGAAAUUAGAAGAGGAGAUAAUUUGCAGUUGGAUCAGCUUAUUCAAAACUCAUCCUUUUCUAGAGAUACAAGUGCUUGUAUACGGCCUUUUGACUUAGAUGUUCUAAAGGAAGCCUUUCAACUAAGGGAAACAGGUUCCAUUGAUUUGCCUCCGGCCGAGAAGGGGGUUCCCACCACUGUUGGAAAAUCAAAAAUUGAGUCUAAAGACAAGGAGAAGAAGCAUAAAAAGCACAAGGACAGGGACAAAGAGAAGGACAAAGAGCAUAAGAAGCACAAGCAUCGUCAUAAAGACCGAAGCAAAGAUAAAGACAAGGAAAAAAAGAAGGAUAAGAGUGAUCAUCAUGAUUCCAGUGCUGAUCAUGGCAAGAAGCACCAUGAAAAGAAAAGGAAGCAUGAUGGAGAUGAAGAUAUUAUUGAUGUACACAAACACAAAAAAAGUAAGCACAAGAGCUCGAAAAUCAGCGAAUUGGGGGCAAUAAAGGUAGCCGGCUAGAAUGGUCACAUGCUGUAGUUCACUUCUUAUCCUCAUAUGGUUAUUGUCUUCUCUAAAGUCUGGAGGCGUCUUUGGCUAGAAAUUAUCAAAUUUCUUGAGCAAAGAAGGAAAGAAAAUUACAGCAGGAAGGAAAGAAAUAGAUUACAUAAAGAUGGAAAUAGAGAAGAGUAAUAGGAAAUGAUCAUGAUCUGUCAUAACCAGUGGAGGGGCUGUUUAACCUUGUUAAAAGGAGAAGCACAUCACUAUAAGUCAUUAAUGGCAUGAUCAAGUGAAGUCAAAUGCCCUUGUUUCUAGCAUGGGUAGCUGUUAUGGCUUCCUGUUCAUCAACAGUUUUGGGCAGGGAUGAGGACAGAGCCAGGCUGGUUUUUCAGUUUUCGUCCCUGAUCCCAUUCUUUCUUCUUACGUGUUUGGCAAGUAAAAAGCAUAUUGUAACGGGCCUUUUCUUAAUAUAUAUACAUUGCUGGAUCCAGUAAUAUCAGUUUAUUGGGAUUACAAUUUGGUUCCAGUAGGACAGUCGUUAUAACAACAAAUUAGUUGCUCUAGGAAUAUUGUGAUAUUAGUGUUUCAAAUUAACGCGCCUGUUUUUAAUAUUGCA